UGGGGAAUCUUGCGCAAUGGGCGAAAGCCUGACGCAGCGACGCCGCGUGGGGGAAGAAGGCUUUCGGGUUGUAAACCCCUUUCAGGAAGGACGAAGCCACUCGGGUUAAUAGCCCAGAGGGUGACGGUACUUCCAGAAGAAGCCCCGGCUAACUACGUGCCAGCAGCCGCGGUAAUACGUAGGGGGCAAGCGUUGUCCGGAUUUAUUGGGCGUAAAGAGCGUGUAGGCGGUUUGGUAGGUCCGUUGUGAAAACUCGAGGCUCAACCUCGAGACGCCGAUGGAAACCAUCAGACUAGAGUCCGGAAGAGGAGAGUGGAAUUCCUGGUGUAGCGGUGAAAUGCGCAGAUAUCAGGAAGAACACCCGUGGCUAAGGCGGCUCUCUAGUACGGUACUGACGCUGAGACGCGAAAGCGUGGGGAGCGAACAGGAUUAGAUACC
rnacentral:rRNA from 1 species